GAGUUUGAUCGUGGCUCAGAACGAACGCUGGCGGCGUGGAUAAGACAUGCAAGUCGAACGGGAGAAUUGCUAGCUUGCUAAUAAUUCUCUAGUGGCGCACGGGUGAGUAACACGUGAGUAACCUGCCCCCGAGAGCGGGAUAGCCCUGGGAAACUGGGAUUAAUACCGCAUAGUAUCGAAAGAUUAAAGCAGCAAUGCGCUUGGGGAUGGGCUCGCGGCCUAUUAGUUAGUUGGUGAGGUAACGGCUCACCAAGGCGAUGACGGGUAGCCGGUCUGAGAGGAUGUCCGGCCACACUGGAACUGAGACACGGUCCAGACACCUACGGGUGGCAGCAGUCGAGAAUCAUUCACAAUGGGGGAAACCCUGAUGGUGCGACGCCGCGUGGGGGAAUGAAGGUCUUCGGAUUGUAAACCCCUGUCAUGUGGGAGCAAAUUAAAAAGAUAGUACCACAAGAGGAAGAGACGGCUAACUCUGUGCCAACAGCAGCA
rnacentral:rRNA from 1 species